AGCCGAGCGGUAUUCGUCCUUCGGGACGGAGAGAGCGGCGUACGGGUGCGGAACACGUGUGCAACCUGCCUUUAUCUGGGGGAUAGCCUUUCGAAAGGAAGAUUAAUACCCCAUAACAUAUGAUACGGCAUCGUAUUAUAUUGAAAACUCCGGUGGAUAGAGAUGGGCACGCGCAAGAUUAGAUAGUUGGUGAGGUAACGGCUCACCAAGUCAGUGAUCUUUAGGGGGCCUGAGAGGGUGAUCCCCCACACUGGUACUGAGACACGGACCAGACUCCUACGGGAGGCAGCAGUGAGGAAUAUUGGACAAUGGGUGAGAGCCUGAUCCAGCCAUCCCGCGUGAAGGACUAAGGCCCUAUGGGUUGUAAACUUCUUUUAUACUGGGAUAAACCUACUUACGUGUAAGUAGCUGAAGGUACAGUAUGAAUAAGCACCGGCUAACUCCGUGCCAGCAGCCGCGGUAAUACGGAGGGUGCAAGCGUUAUCCGGAUUUAUUGGGUUUAAAGGGUCCGUAGGCGGAUCCGUAAGUCAGUGGUGAAAUCUCAUAGCUUAACUAUGAAACUGCCAUUGAUACUGCGGGUCUUGAGUGAGAUUGAGGUAGCUGGAAUAAGUAGUGUAGCGGUGAAAUGCAUAGAUAUUACUUAGAACACCAAUUGCGAAGGCAGGUUACCAAGUCUUAACUGACGCUGAGGGACGAA
rnacentral:rRNA from 1 species